rnacentral:rRNA from 1 species
UACGUAGGGGGCAAGCGUUGUCCGGAGUUACUGGGCGUAAAGCGCACGCAGGCGGUCUCUUAAGUUUGGAGUGACAGUUGGUGGCUUAACUGCCAAAGUGCUUCGAAAACUGAGAGACUUGAGGGCUUCAGAGGGACACGGAAUUCCGGGUGGAGUGGUGAAAUGCGUAGAGAUCCGGAGGAACACCAAAGGCGAAGGCACUCUACUGGGCCACAACUGACACUGAGAGACGAAAGCUAGGGGAGCGAAUGGG